rnacentral:lncRNA from 1 species
GUUUGUUAACAAAAAUAUACAUGUUUUAACUUUUUUUAAAUAUCCGUAUAUAUAAAUUUACUAGAGAUCAACAAAAAAUCAACUUUAAAAACAAGCAAAAAAAAUUUAAAAUGAAAAAUCAAUUAAUAAAAGUAGAAAAUACGCUAUUACAUAGAAGUGAAAAAUAAAACAGACAGAAAUACAAAAUAAACACGACAGUAACAACAAACACAGAACACCAAAUACCGUAUACAUGUUUAAUCAGUUUAUAAGUGGAUUAUAAACGGGUCAAGGUUGAGUGAACAUGAAUUUCUAUCGAUUACACAGGUGACAAUCAACUGAUUGAGGCGCGUGUCGAUAAAACAUUAAAUAACUUUCUAAUUACAAAAGUUAUGAUUAUGAAAUUUGAAAUUAUGAAGUUUUUCAAAGUAUAUUUCUAUAUGCCAUGUCCUUUGUGGCCGUUGUAUCAUUCCAUCAGGUCCUUAGUGCACAUUUUUGUUCUUAGUGCACUAAGGAGGUCCUUUGCGGUAUUUCUACGGACCCU